CAGCAGCCGCGGGAAUACGGAGGGUGCAAGCGUUAAUCGGAAUUACUGGGCGUAAAGCGUGCGCAGGCGGUUCGCUAAGACAGAUGUGAAAUCCCCGGGCUUAACCUGGGAACUGCAUUUGUGACUGGCGGGCUAGAGUAUGGCAGAGGGGGGUAGAAUUCCACGUGUAGCAGUGAAAUGCGUAGAGAUGUGGAGGAAUACCGAUGGCGAAGGCAGCCCCCUGGGCCAAUACUGACGCUCAUGCACGAAAGCGUGGGGAGCAAACAGGAUUAGAUACCCGUGUAGUCCCUGUCUCUUAUAC
rnacentral:rRNA from 1 species